GAAGUCGGCCUGCUACGAUGGAACGAGAGGUGCGGUGGUGUCUUGUCAAUCAGCAAGAGCUGAAAACGGAGCGCAAGGUUAUGCACCUGCCCUCUAGGUUAAGAGUUCAUGUUCGAGGAUACGAAAGUUAAACGCCUUUCAUUCCUUCCUUUCGGUGCAAAGUUCAGGUGUUCGUGAUCUGCGCCAAAACGUGAUGUAUCGAUCCAAAAAUUGUACACGUGCUGCAUUAAAGCGUCGUCCGAAGGAAACGUGCCGCUAAAGUCAACAAACGGAAAUGAGGGUUGCAAAAGUCCCUGUAACAGACACCCACCCCACGCACGGUGGGUCUGGGCUGCAAAAGCAAGAGUAGAACUAGGUCCGGAAAAAGGGAAAAUCAGAAAGUGCCUUGAUGGUGUAUGAAUGUCUACAAAGGCAACGAGUAGAGAAACACACUAGGAUCUCUUAGUGGCAAGCACCCGUGAUUCCUCCAAGAAAUUGUCAGAGUGCUACGAUUUCAAAUGCAAUCAAAGCACCGAGAUUCAAGAGCAAAAACGGUCGAAUCCAAAGGGCUGUCCCGUUUCGCCGGAAACUCGUUUCCACUCUAGGGAGAGAAAAUUGUGUUUACUCAUCUUCUUUUCUUUUGAAGAGCGACAGCAAGCCGACGGUAGCGAAGCGUGGGCCCGGAAGACUCCAUCCGUAUCCUUGCGGACUUCUCACUUGUUGAAUGCGUGUGCUAAGAAUGUGGGUAAAAGCAAGUAACAGAGUGCUAGGCCUAAAGAAAAUUGUAGUACAAUGGCACUCUCAGGAUGCUUUCUUCCAAUGCUGGA